rnacentral:rRNA from 1 species
GACGAACGCUGGCGGCGUGCUUAACACAUGCAAGUCGAACGGUAAGGCCCUUCGGGGUACACGAGUGGCGAACGGGUGAGUAACACGUGGGUGAUCUGCCCUGCACUUCGGAAUAAGCCUGGGAAACUGGGUCUAAUACCGGAUAGGACUCCUGCCUGCAUGGGUGGGGGUGGAAAGCUUUUGCGGUGUGGGAUGGGCCCGCGGCCUAUCAGCUUGUUGGGGGGGUGAUGGCCUACCAAGGCGACGACGGGUAGCCGGCCUGGGAGGGUGACCGGGCACACUGGGACUGUGAUACGGCGCAGACUCCUACGGGAGGCAGCAGUGGGGAAUAUUGCACAAUGGGGGCAAGCCUGAUGCGGCGACGCCGCGUGAGGGAUGACGGCCUUCGGGUUGUAAACCUCUUUCAGCACAGACGAAGCGCAAGUGACGGUAUGUGCAGAAGAAGGACCGGCCAACUACGUGCCAGCCGCCGCAGUAA